rnacentral:lncRNA from 1 species
CAUGACGCCCCCUUCCUCUUCCUCCUCCGUCCACUUCUUCGUUACUCAUCUUUUUGCUGCCACAUAUCACUUCCAUUCCUCCUCCUCCUUUGUCCACGUCUUCAUUGCUUAUGUUCCCGCCAACACCUUCCUCCUCCUCUACCCAUCUCUCCACCACUUGGGCCUGCUGCUGCAUGUUGUUCUCUUCCUCCUUCGCCACACAUCGCCCCUCUUCCUCCUCCUUUACAGCUCACCUCCUUGUGGCCACAUGCCGCUCCCCUUCUUCCUCCUCCUCCAUUGCUCGGGUCCGCCGCUUACCUCUAUGCCAUCAUGUACUG